GUAUGUUGCAGUGUCCUUUAUAUGGGACCAUACAGACAAAGUGUAUCUGUUUGCUGUGGAAACGAGAAAUUGGAAAGAUGAAUAUCAGUAUAUCAGAAAAAGCUUGAAAAAAAGGCCCUAACAAACAAAAUAACAAGAAGAGAGGCAGUGUCAAAGUGGCUAAUCCGUGCAGGGAAAGGGGAGGGAAUCGCACUGCAAGGGCACAUGUUGGAGAACAAGAUGGGGCCGUUGGGACAGCGACAACAGAGGAGUGAGGAGCUGCACUAAUGUUGUCUUGUUUGUGAAAACCUUUAUUUUAGAUUUUUCUGAUAUGCAUAUAUAAAAACAAGUUUUUCCAAAUAAAGUUUUACAAGA